UGAGCGCCGCAGGUGCAGUCGGAUUAAGUGAUGAAAGGGCUGUAAAGAAAUACUGAAAAGACAUGUAGCGUGAUAACAGGCGGCUGCAUAAAGACACGACGAGAUAAACUAGCUUCUCUUAAGCAUCUGUGUUUACGUUUUUGUUUUAAAUAUUAGCAAGUAUGCUUCCUAUGCACACACCAAAUCAGCACUUUAUUUCAUAAGAGUGCCUGGAUUGCCUUCUUACCAAACCACUUUUCAGAAUAACUGAUGAAGGAAAUAG